UACGUAGGGUGCAAGCGUUAAUCGGAAUUACUGGGCGUAAAGCGUGCGCAGGCGGUGAUGUAAGACAGUUGUGAAAUCCCCGGGCUCAACCUGGGAACUGCAUCUGUGACUGCAUCGCUGGAGUGCGGCAGAGGGGGAUGGAAUUCCGCGUGUAGCAGUGAAAUGCGUAGAUAUGCGGAGGAACACCGGUGGCGAAGGCGGCAUCCUGGACCAAUUCUGACGCUGAUGAGCGAAAGCCAGGGGAGCAAACGGG
rnacentral:rRNA from 1 species